UACGUAGGGUGCAAGCGUUGUCCGGAAUUAUUGGGCGUAAAGAGCUCGUAGGCGGUCUGUUGCGUCGGCUGUGAAAUCCCGAGGCUCAACCUCGGGUCUGCAGUCGAUACGAGCAAACUAGAGUGUUGCAGGGGAGACUGGAAUUCCUGGUGUAGCGGUGAAAUGCGCAGAUAUCAGGAGGAACACCGGUGGCGAAGGCGGUUCUCUGGGCAUGUCCUGACGCUGAGGAGCGAAAGUGUGGGGAGCGAACAGG
rnacentral:rRNA from 1 species